UACGUAGGGUCCGGGCGUUGUCCGGAAUUACUGGGCGUAAAGAGCUCGUAGGUGGUUUGUCGCGUUGUUCGUGAAAACUCACAGCUCAACUGUGGGCGUGCGGGCGAUACGGGCAGACUGGAGUACUGCAGGGGAGACUGGAAUUCCCGGUGUAGUGGUGGAAUGCGUAGAUAUCGGGAGGAACACCAGUGGCGAAGGCGGUUGCCUGGAGCUUUGCUGACGCUGAGGCGCGAAAGCGUGGGGAGCGAUCCGG
rnacentral:rRNA from 1 species